AGAGUUUGAUCCUGGCUCAGGACGAACGCUGGCGGCGCGCCUAACACAUGCAAGUCGAACGGAGCUUAGAGAGCUUGCUUUUUAAGCUUAGUGGCGAACGGGUGAGUAACGCGUGAGUAACCUGCCCUGGAGUGGGGGACAACAGUUGGAAACGACUGCUAAUACCGCAUAAGCCCACGGUACCGCAUGGCACUGAGGGAAAAGGAUUUAUUCGCUUUAGGAUGGACUCGCGUCCAAUUAGCUAGUUGGUGAGGUAACGGCCCACCAAGGCGACGAUUGGUAGCCGGACUGAGAGGUUGAACGGCCACAUUGGGACUGAGACACGGCCCAGACUCCUACGGGAGGCAGCAGUGGGGGAUAUUGCACAAUGGGGGAAACCCUGAUGCAGCGACGCCGCGUGGAGGAAGAAGGUUUUCGGAUUGUAAACUCCUGUCGUUAGGGACGAUAAUGACGGUACCUAACAAGAAAGCACCGGCUAACUACGUGCCAGCAGCCGCGGUAAAACGUAGGGUGCAAGCGUUGUCCGGAAUUACUGGGUGUAAAGGGAGCGCAGGCGGGAAGACAAGUUGGAAGUGAAAUCUAUGGGCUCAACCCAUGAACUGCUUUCAAAACUGUUUUUCUUGAGUAGUGCAGAGGUAGGCGGAAUUCCCGGUGUAGCGGUGGAAUGCGUAGAUAUCGGGAGGAACACCAGUGGCGAAGGCGGUCUACUGGGCACCAACUGACGCUGAGGCUCGAAAGCAUGGGUAGCAAACAGGAUUAGAUACCCUGGUAGUCCAUGCCGUAAACGAUGAUUACUAGGUGUUGGAGGAUUGACCCCUUCAGUGCCGCAGUUAACACAAUAAGUAAUCCACCUGGGGAGUACGACCGCAAGGUUGAAACUCAAAGGAAUUGACGGGGGCCC
rnacentral:rRNA from 1 species